AUUUGCUCGUUUGGUGACUUUAUUCUUUCUAUUUGUCUGCUUGUCUCUUUGUCUGUCUUCCUGUCUAUCUGUCUCCUUUGAAAACGAAAGCACAAACAAGUAAAGAAGAUAAGAGAAGAAAGGAAACGAGGGGGCCCCGAUGAAGCCCAGACACAUGAAAGAAAGCGAAUCUUUAUUUCUU
rnacentral:ribozyme from 11 species